UUGCGCUGCUGUGGCCCUUCCUGGGUGGCUCUCCCGUUUCUCUUUGCGUGGGGCUGGCUUAGCAGGAGAGGUGGAAGUUACGGGAGACCCCAGAGAGGGGGCUCCCCUAUGGCCCCGAGUGCUGCAAACCUGUGAUGAGGAGCGAGAUUCACAAUGGGCCUGGCCCCUUAAAGGGCUCUUAACACGUGCUUAGUUAUCAGCUUUACAUCAUUUGCUCAAAAAGCUGAGAGUUGGUGUUGUUGGAACCCUUUUCUUACUAUUUUUUUAUACUCCUAAUAAUCUAUAGGCAUUUUCAGUUCUGUUGACAAACGGUAAAGUACUAACCCAAAAUCAUUCAGCGUGAUUGAUAUGUGAUCAUCAAACUGAUAUAGUCGCACCUGCACAGUGACUGGAUAUACAGUGCCAGACUUGGGAUCCCCACUGCUAAGCUGUUUUCAAGGACUUAGUGUUUAUAAAACUGUUGCUUCAGUUUUGGGGUAGUGCAGUUAGUAAGAGAGGUGAACUCUUUAGUCUGUGUUUAAUGGUGUUCACGCUAGUGUAUGACUCUUCAUUGGUUGGGUCAAUGGUUGGGUAACAUGAAAUUGCAAAACAGAAUGUCAUAAAAAAUACUGUGUUGUCAAAUGUUAAUAUCAACCAUGCUGCUUUCUUUUAAAAACUGAAAUGCUGAUAGGCUCUUAAUGGCUCUUUAAACUCACAUAGCGUAUGAAUGUUUCAGAAAAUGCUAAUGGUUCUAUUUCAGAUAUCUAAUAAUUUCCUUAAUGAACUAUUAGGUACUGUUGCGGUAAUUACUUCUGAUGGAAGAAUGAUUGUGGGAACCCUCAAAGGUUUUGAUCAGACCAUUAACUUGAUUUUGGAUGAAAGCCAUGAACGAGUGUUCAGCUCUUCACAAGGAGUUGAGCAAGUAGUGCUGGGAUUAUACAUCGUAAGAGGCGAUAAUGUUGCUGUCAUUGGUGAAAUUGAUGAAGAGACAGAUUCAGCUCUUGACUUGGGGAAUAUUCGAGCAGAACCUUUAAACUCAGUUGUGCACUGAGAAGAUGAAAAUGCACAGGGACUUUGUAAAUCUUUGGUUGUACAGACCUAUUUAACAACGCAGAAGAUUUUUACAAAUUCUGAGGAAUUAUGUUUGAAGCUGAGUUACGGCAUGUUGAUGCACCUGGAGACCAUCUGCCUCAAGCACAUCACUUGCAGUGCAACUCCUCGGUCCCGUGUUUGGUUGAGGACUUAGAACAUGAUGAGCUGCUGAUGUUAGUUUGAACUAUUUUCUCUGUCCUUAAAGUGAUGGUUUCAGAUGCAAAGCUGUGGAACCAAGGCGGUGAUGCUGAUCAGUACAAUUCAGAGAGUGACCAGAUGAGAAUUCCAAGUCGUUCAGGAAUUGCUGAAGCAGGAAAAAGAUGAUCUGGAAAAUAAUAGUUUGACACAGUUCUGUGUUAAAACACAGAUUGCAAACCCUGUCUUCUUCCCUUCAGGUGAACCCACACCGCAGGGAGCCUAGCAAAAGUGUUGAAAGUAAUAAAGAGGUAAAAUACAGAGGAAAGGACGAAGCAGAGCUGAAUUUUUGAGAGAAGUUCUCUGCAUCUGAGGAGGUAUUAAAGAAGACUGGAAUGGAAAAAGCACCACUGAUCGUUACUGUGUUGGGCAGCGGUACGCCAGUCAGCGUGUGCCAGCUGGCUGGGGCGAAAGUUCUUGCUGUUUCCCACUAAUCACACAGAUGUAGCAAAGCAAAUGUCUCCUAGGAGACAAGGAGUAAUAUUGUCUGCAGAAAGCCUUUGCUUUGUUCUCACUGGAGGGAAAAGUAUUCUCAAAAAAGAAAAAAAAAAAAAAAGAUAACUCCCUUUUCAGACUGGAAGGCACUCCCAGUGAAUUCUGACCACUGUGGCCAUAUGACAGUCAGCUGGUGCCUCAGGGUACACAAAGAGCCCUGCUGAGAUGGGAAAAAGGGGUCGUAGUCCACAGUGUUCUUGGAAACUGCCUUUUCCUGCAAAGGGCCUAGAUUAAAGAGCCAAUAAAUUACAGGUGAUGCUCAGUAAAAUCCAAUGUGUCCUUGCAGAGCAAUAAACCGAUUUUACAAAAAUGAGCAGGGCAGAGAAAGGUGAUGCUAAGGACAAAAGGAAGUAACGCUGAAUUGGAGGUAAUCGUCCUAUUCCGUUAGGUUUCCUGCAUUGCCCUAGGUUGGUCACUUCCUCCUUUUGUUUGUUUAAUAGAGAUCUUGGAGUGAAAGGACAAGUCUUGACUAGUACUGGAAAAGGAUGCUUCCAGUGAAAUGACUGAGCUGGCUUAUAAAGGGAUUAAUUAAAUUCAUUUGGUGUGCAUGAAGUAAUGUGGAAGCCAUCUUCUGCGGUCGACAGGCAACUUUCCUAAAUGCAAUCCAUGCGAAGUGCCUCCCUGUCCACUUCACAUAUUUGCAGUCAAAGUUCUUCAACUAUUACGUGGUCAACAGGCAGGUUACCGGACUGAAAGAACAUGGAUUCUGUUUUCAGGACAUUCACAGUGGAGAAUUUCUGUACGACUCAACCUUCACUAUCAACUGUAGCCUGUUAUGCUUAGCCCUUGGAGUAAGCGUUUGUCCUCCAACCCAUUUUAUAAGUAAAGCAACAGAGAGACUUAUCAAACGUGCUGUGCUAGAGCUGAAGAUAAAACGUGGGUCGUUUGUUUGACAGAUUUAUCUCAUGGCUGUUGCCAUACUACUUCCUUAGCAAAUGUACCAGAUCUGUAUGCUUGAGUAGGUGCUUUCUACCUACGGUAACGUAAUUCCACCUCUUCCCCUCUGCUGCAUGAAGCUGCACUCCACUGAGAAUCUUAUUCUGCAGAUCCCUACAGAAAUGAUCCUAAAUACCAGGGUUGUGUUCUCAGUGCGUUGGUAAGAGAGAAUUUAAUUUAUUCCACAGUUAACAGGACACAUACCAAUCCACGAAUAUAUUCCUUUAGGAACUGAAUGACAAUGACCACGAAGGCACUUCUCAACAAGGUAGAAGCCCCAGUUGGAGAGACUUAGAAACUACAAAUGUGAUUCAUGUCAGUGAAGCAUCAAGAUGGAUUGUGCUUUCUCGUUAUAUUUGGUCUAUGGCACUUCUGAAAAUGUCUGUCCCUUUUGCAUCUUCGAGCUGCAGGUCUAAGGAGUCACGAUGCCAACUGAAGAGAGCACAAGGCAAGGAGGCAGACAAUACUAACUCCGUCUCAAUUUUUGGCACCUGUGUAUGCAACUCUACUAAUUUUAACUGAUUGUGUUCUUGUUUCUGCUUUCCAGUUGGGGAAACUGCAGUUUAGUGAUUAGACCCAUGGAAAGAAGUCUGUGGAUUCUUUUUUUUUUUUUUAAGUGGAGGAGAGUUCCUCAGUCACAGUGAAGAUCUAGAAAAGCUGUGUCAUAGCAAUCAGUCUCAGCUCCCCUGUUGCUUAAAUAAUACGGCAUACUUCAUGUAUCGGCUAUUCACAGACAAAAACCCACAAAACCCAGAUGUGCCAGGAGGUGGUAUCUGUACAGACCAAGCCUCGAGGUGAGGGAGAGGAAACUGGUACCAGGCUUAGGUUAAAAACAUGUGACAAAAGAUAGUGAAGAGCCAGGCGUUUUUCCUGGCAAUCCUGUUCCCCAUAGCCUCUUCUAGUGUGCUAUAUUCUGUCUUGGGGUCCUUUUCAGGGGCCUUUUUUUUACAGUCAUUUUUACAGUAAUGGCAGAAAUGCUGGCAUUUCUUCCAGCAGCAGCAUGUUCCUUGAAGAAAAUAAGAGCUCCGCUGAUGCAGGUAGAAAUCAAAGCUUGAAAACUAGCAUUCAGACUUUUGCCAAGAACUACUUACUAGCUCUAAAAGCCUGACCUUAUCGAGGCAGUAACAUCUUCCUUCCUGGAGCCUUGCAGCACGUUCCAGGAACUCUGGAACUUGCGUUGAACGACGUGCUGCUGCCGUUCAGCCUUACAUCAGUAGCGGUGCCACUGAGUGCCAAGAAAUU